rnacentral:rRNA from 1 species
GACGAACGCUGGCGGCGUGCCUAAUACAUGCAAGUAGAACGCUGAAGAGAGGAGCUUGCUCUUCUUGGAUGAGUUGCGAACGGGUGAGUAACGCGUAGGUAACCUGCCUGGUAGCGGGGGAUAACUAUUGGAAACGAUAGCUAAUACCGCAUAAUAGUAGAUGUUGCAUGACAUUUGCUUAAAAGGUGCAAUUGCAUCACUACCAGAUGGACCUGCGUUGUAUUAGCUAGUUGGUGAGGUAACGGCUCACCAAGGCAACGAUACAUAGCCGACCUGAGAGGGUGAUCGGCCACACUGGGACUGAGACACGGCCCAGACUCCUACGGGAGGCAGCAGUAGGGAAUCUUCGGCAAUGGACGGAAGUCUGACCGAGCAACGCCGCGUGAGUGAAGAAGGUUUUCGGAUCGUAAAGCUCUGUUGUAAGAGAAGAACGAGUGUGAGAGUGGAAAGUUCACACUGUGACGGGUAUCUACCA